GACACAGCUUGUGGGGGUGUAUCGGGUGUUCCAGGUUAAAAAGACUAAACACAUCGAGGCAGACUGACCAUAUUUUCCAAAGACGGCCUCAACGGCACUUUCCCCCCAAAUCCCCUUCUGCAGGGUGACCUGGACACUCCCGACCCAGGGGAGUCUGUGUCCCUUCCUGUGUCUUGCAGGGUCUGGGUGAGGGUGACAUGGAGUGAUUUCUGAGGUCAGAAACCUUGUGCCUGCCUGCUGUGUGGUCCUCCUGGUGCCCCCUGUGACACUCCCUCCAGGAGCAGAGCCCCACAGAGAGGAGCCCGCACAUGAUUCCAGCCCCGGCCUCUGGGUCACCCGAGCUUUCCAGUCUUCCCAGCCCAGUGAUGUGGAGCAGAGGAAUUACCUUCCUGAUGGAGAAGGCCUAAGCAAGGCUACCACACACUCACUGUGGACACGAACACCCAGAGCUGGGAGCCCAGACAAGCCACCCACUCCCCAGGGGUCUGAGGCAGUCCCCACGGCAGAACCACUCAGUGGCCACAUGUGGGCAGACGCGGCACUGGGAGAGAAGAGCCAUGGGACUGACUCCAGGGACGGCACAGGUUUGAGAAGCCACACGUGGCAACUCCCCCCUCCCCUGCCCCAAGAACUAAUGAGUGAGCUCAGCAAGGUGGUGGGACUAGCAGAUGAAAACCCAUCACAUUUCUAUGUCCUAACAGUGAACAUACAGAAACCCAAAUUAAAAACAUAAUAUCAGUUCUGGUCUCUGGUCUGACGCGUAAAGAACUCCAUCUCCCCAAUAAGAAAAAGGCUAGGUAAACUGAGAUCAACAACUCCUCUUUGAAAUCUUAGAGAAUUGUGGUCACAGGGCAAUGCCCUGAAAACUGUAGAGACAGGCCAAGGGUUCACAGCUUACCAGGAGCAGAGGUUGGAGCCUGAAACAGGAAAGGAAAUGAGCACUGUAAGGAUGAAUGCUGGAGGCUGCACCUGGCUGGCUUGAGAUUUAAAAAGUCAUGGGCUCAGGGGAGCCCCCAACUUUCCUGAGAUGUACCCGGUUCUUGCCCUUAACAUCAGAGAAAAUCCCCUCAGGUUUCUAGCAAGUGGGGAUGAAGUAAUCGCUAUGGACUGAACUGUGUCCCCUUCAAGCUCCUCUGUUGAAGCCCUCAACCCCCAAUGUGACUGUGAUUGGGGAGAAGGCUUUCAGGAGGUAAUUAAGGUGAAAUGAGCUUAGAUGGGUAGGGUUUUGAUCUGACAAGGCUACAACCUUUUAAGAAGUAGAGAGCACCGUCUCUCUCCCUGCGUGUGGCCCCAUGGAGGAAGGGCCAGGUGAGGACACAGUGAGAAGGCAGCUGCCUGCAGGUCAGGAAAAGGGCUCUCACCAGGAACCAAGGCCCUGGACUCUGGCCUCCAGAACUACAAGACAAUAAACUUCUGUGACUUCCCUCAGCCUACUGCACUUUGUUAAGGCAACUGAAGCCAUUAUGAAGGACACUCAGAGCACUCUGUUCCUCUCCUGCCCUCAAGAGAAAUUACAAAACUGGAGCUUAACCACCCCCAGCCCCUCCAGCCCUUCUGUCUUAGCACACACCACCGAACAGAGUGGUUAAAGUAAGAGUGACAGCAGCAAAUGCUGGCAAGUAUGGGAGGAAACUGGAGCCAGCAUAGAUCGCUGGUGGGAAUGUAAACUGUUACAGCCACUCUGGGUAACAGGCACGCAGUCUCUUACAAAACUAAACAGGUAACUACCAUACAACUCAGUCUUUUCACUCUUGGGCAUUUAUCCCAGUGAAAUGAAAAUUUAUGUUCAUUAAAAAAAAAUAAUAAAACCUGCAUAGGAAUGUUAGGAGCAGGCUUUAUUUGUGACAGGCCCAAACUGGAGUCAGCCCAG